UACGUAGGGGGCGAGCGUUGUCCGGAAUCAUUGGGCGUAAAGCGCGUGUAGGCGGCCCGGUAAGUCCGCUGUGAAAGUCCAGGGCUCAACCCUGGGAUGCCGGUGGAUACUGUCGGGCUCGAGUCCGGUAGAGGAGAGUGGAAUUCCCGGUGUAGCAGUGAAAUGCGUAGAGAUCGGGAGGAACAUCAGUUGCGAAGGCGGCUCUCUGGACCAGCACUGACACUGAGGCACGAAAGCGUGGGGAGCAAACAGG
rnacentral:rRNA from 1 species